rnacentral:sRNA from 1 species
UAAUAGUACAAAAGGAAUGGUGCAGUAUCCUAGUCAGUCCUCCUAUCUUGAAGGCGGGCCUAAAAAUCUGCCAAAGGGCAUAUCGAUGAAGUUCCUUGUGUUGGCUUGAGGCGCCCAGCCUUGGGUCAGUGCUGGGAGUUAAGGUUUAUGGGCGAUCCACAAAGGCAUGUGGGCGUUGACCCAUUAACCGCGGAGGCCCAUCUCUGUAGUUGACGCUAAGCGUAGCAGAAAUUAUGGAAUGGGGUAUGAACCUGUCCAAAAAGACAAGGAUGGUCUUUCAAUAGACAGCGUAGCCUGCCUUGAGGUGGUAUCCGAGGGGAUUAGAGUAAAAAAGGUCGAUUAGAUGGCCACUAAUGACCUUUAGCCAUCUCUAUGAAAUCGGUACUGCAAAAGAGGCUAGGGAUAGGUUAAAGACUGUUAGAGGAAAUCUCCUAGGCUGUUCUGAAUAAGACAUUUAAAAGGGAUUAUAGUGCGGACUAAGUGGUAAUCCAGUCUAACUAUUGGCGACAAGUUAAGGUAGAUUUAAAAGGGAACUGCCUAAGAUGGCAACAUCAGGUAUCUACUUGGGAAAACCUACUGGACCUAAGCCGCAGUCUUAACUUUUUAAAUGGCCAUUCCCCGUACUUAAUCA